UACGUAGGGUGCGAGCGUUGUCCGGAAUUAUUGGGCGUAAAGAGCUUGUAGGCGGUCUGUCGCGUCUGCUGUGAAAAUCCGGGGCUCAACCCCGGACUUGCAGUGGGUACGGGCAGACUAGAGUUCGGUAGGGGAGACUGGAAUUCCUGGUGUAGCGGUGAAAUGCGCAGAUAUCAGGAGGAACACCGGUGGCGAAGGCGGGUCUCUGGGCCGAUACUGACGCUGAGGAGCGAAAGCGUGGGGAGCGAACAGG
rnacentral:rRNA from 1 species